GGGGCAGCAUGGUCUUAGCUUGCUAAGGCCGAUGGCGACCGGCGCACGGGUGAGUAACACGUAUCCAACCUGCCGUCUACUCUUGGACAGCCUUCUGAAAGGAAGAUUAAUACAAGAUGGCAUCAUGAGUCCACAUGUUCACAUGAUUAAAGGUAUUCCGGUAGACGAUGGGGAUGCGUUCCAUUAGAUAGUAGGCGGGGUAACGGCCCACCUAGUCUUCGAUGGAUAGGGGUUCUGAGAGGAAGGUCCCCCACAUUGGAACUGAGACACGGUCCAAACUCCUACGGGAGGCAGCAGUGAGGAAUAUUGGUCAAUGGGCGAGAGCCUGAACCAGCCAAGUAGUGUGAAGGAUGACUGCCCUAUGGGUUGUAAACUUCUUUUAUAAAGGAAUAAAGUCGGGUAUGUAUACCCGUUUGCAUGUACUUUAUGAAUAAGGAUCGGCUAACUCCGUGCCAGCAGCCGCGGUAAUACGGAGGAUCCGAGCGUUAUCCGGAUUUAUUGGGUUUAAAGGGAGCGUAGAUGGAUGUUUAAGUCAGUUGUGAAAGUUUGCGGCUCAACCGUAAAAUUGCAGUUGAUACUGGAUAUCUUGAGUGCAGUUGAGGCAGGCGGAAUUCGUGGUGUAGCGG
rnacentral:rRNA from 1 species